GUUUUAAAUAUGUAUUUUACCCAGCGUACACUUUGAAUUUUACUCUAAAUUUCUUUGAAAUUUAAUUGGUAUGUUUUUUUGUUAUGUUUUCAUGCACUGUCUAUGAUUUUAGGCAGCGUGUGAACGGGACUUUUAUUUUGAUCUGUCAGUGACAUCACAUGGCUGGACCGCUCUCCUCUGGCUCAACAAAGGUUUGGGUUUUAUCACGCUCAAGUGUUUGAGGUGUUGAAAUCGAUACGAAUCGAUCAAUCGAUGUGUGGAUUUUACAAGUAAUGUGAAAUGAAUGGAUUAUGUGAGGUGCCGUGUAACGCUUUACAGUUGCGUUUUCAGUUAAUAGGCAAAUACCGUGUUCUCUCCUGUCAUUCAGUUUUAAUCUUCAAAAUCUUGACAUCAGAAAUUAUUUAAUUACAUUACAGCCUUUUUAUUAUUAUAUUUUUGUGUCUGAAAACUGAACUACGGCGUUACACGUACCCUGACAGUUUGUCUCGUAAAUGGCCCAAUAUUUAGGAGUGUUAUUUGUUUGAGUAAAGCGCGUUCAUUCAUAUGUAAAUAACAUUAGAUUCGGAUUUGUAUUUCUUUCUGUUAAUUGUUUUCCUCAUAUUAAACAAGACAACAUGUCCAAACAUACAGGAACAAGAAACUGCGAAUAUCUGAAAUCCAUGUGACACUAUUAUCAAGAUGGCAUUUAUUAAAGAGGAGAUUGAAGACGUGAGCAUUUCAGAAACAUUCAGAGUGAAAAAUGAAGAUGCAGAGGAUGACACAGAAAAAAAAAUGAUUUCAAAGCCACCUCAUUAUCGAUUUUCUGGAGUUCAGCCAUCCAGCUAAACAAGACUGUCAACAUGCUCUGAGCAGUUUUUUUUAACAGCACAUGUAAGUGUGUCAUGCUCUGUUCAGUUGAUGAUACUUCUCUCCUAUUCUCCGCUAAGCAGACAGAUGCUGUCACACCCCACAUACUCAUCAUCUGCAAAGAUCAACUGCCACUCAUUUUUACAAAAAUACACAUAAUGAUGGAUGUGAAGACAUCACAGGAAACUGGAAAAAUAUUUAAUUGGAACUUAGCCUUUGUUUCUAUUUGUAUUUGUGUGUCUAUCUGUUCUGUUAUAUUUCAUUUACUUAUUUACUCAGUCUUAAAUUUACAUUCAAGUGUAAUUUUUAUGCUUUCUUGUAAUGACUUUUUAGAGCAUUGUCAUUUUUGCUAUAAUUUCCUGUCAAUAAAAAAGCAUAAUUGACAUAACUUGCUGUCUUUUUUUU
rnacentral:lncRNA from 1 species